rnacentral:rRNA from 1 species
CCCUUAGAUGUUCUGGGCGGCCCACGCACUACAAUGGCGUGUGCAGCGAGUGCCGAAGUAGAGUUUUCCGAGGUAUUCUUGCAAUGCUCGUUUUGAUGGGGAUAGACCCUUGCAACUGUUGGUUUUGAACGAGGAAUUCCUUGUAAGCAUGGUUUAUCAUCCGACGCUGAAUGCGUCCCUGCCCUUUGUACACACCGCCCGUCGCUCCUACCGAUGAGUCGUCCGGUGAAGUUCGUAGACCUCGUGAUCGCGGAUCACUGGGGGAAGCAAAAUGAACCUCGCGGUUUAGAGGAAGGAGAAGUCGUAACA